rnacentral:rRNA from 1 species
GAUGAACGCUGGCGGCGUGCCUAAUACAUGCAAGUCGAGCGAACGGACGAGAAGCUUGCUUCUCUGAUGUUAGCGGCGGACGGGUGAGUAACACGUGGAUAACCUACCUAUAAGACUGGGAUAACUUCGGGAAACCGUAGCUAAUACCGGAUAAUAUUUUGAACCGCAUGGUUCAAAAGUGAAAGACGGUCUUGCUGUCACUUAUAGAUGGAUCCGCGCUGCAUUAGCUAGUUGGUAAGGUAACGGCUUACCAAGGCAACGAUGCAUAGCCGACCUGAGAGGGUGAUCGGCCACACUGGAACUGAGACACGGUCCAGACUCCUACGGGAGGCAGCAGUAGGGAAUCUUCCGCAAUGGGCGAAAGCCUGACGGAGCAACGCCGCGUGAGUGAUGAAGGUCUUCGGAUCGUAAAACUCUGUUAUUAGGGAAGAACAUAUGUGUAAGUAACCGUGCACAUCUUGACGGUACCUAAUCAGAAAGCCACGGCUAACUACGAG